UAUAUGUAAAUACAUAUACAAUAUAUGUAGCUAUAUUGGAUGAACCAUACUCAUAUCAAUAUACAUACACACUUAUGUAAUAAUAAGAUAAGAGAGGCUCAGAAAAAUUCACUACGAAAUUUCCAUCUGUAAAUAACGUUUAUAAAACUGGACUGUUGGUUGAAGAGGAUAACUAAGAUGAGACGCGUAAUUGGUUCUCGACGAUAAUCUACAGAAGACGAACGAAUGGCAAUUUUUAAAACAUUUGUUUUAGAUUAGAUUAGCUGAUUUCAAGAUGUAUUAAAUUUAAGGUAAAGGUUGUCAACCAUGGCAUGUGAGCUAAGACCCGAGUUCGAUUGUACAUUGAGGUGGUUACUAAUGUAAAAUUAAAAUAACAAUAUCUGAUGACCUGUCUUCGUGUAUUCAUUUAAUUGAGUCCACGUAAUGUUAGGCUCCAUUGCUAAAUAUAAUUAUUCUGCCCUUUUAUGUACAUAUAAUGUCUUACCCGAUGUCAUUUUAAUUUAUAUAUUAUAUAAAUAUAUGUAUAAGUAAGAGUAUUUAGCUGUAAAUAUAUGCAUAUAAUAGUGAUUUGAAAUAAGAAUAGAUGAACAGUGUUCACUUCUUUUCCCACCUCUUGAUUCCCGAUAUAUUGAUAUGGAUCUUUUGACUAAAACAAAGUAAAGGAAUCAAUUCCGCAAAAUCAAUUAAUCCAUUAACAAAAAACAACUCAAAAGUUGUCUUUUUUGCAGAAUUAUCGAAUAGGAAAUAUGCAUCCUAAAUUUAGAAUUAACAUAAAAACUUAAGAUAAUUUUAUUUUAAAUAUUAUGAAUUGGAAUAAAGUCACUUCUUUUAAUUUGAAGUUUGGAUGAUA